GUGCACGCUGGCGGUGGGCCUCACACAUGCAAGUCGAACGGCAGCACAGUAAGAGCUUGCUCUUACGGGUGGCGAGUGGCGGACGGGUGAGGAAUACAUCGGAAUCUACUUUUUCGUGGGGGAUAACGUAGGGAAACUUACGCUAAUACCGCAUACGACCUACGGGUGAAAGCAGGGGAUCUUCGGACCUUGCGCGAUUGAAUGAGCCGAUGUCGGAUUAGCUAGUUGGCGGGGUAAAGGCCCACCAAGGCGACGAUCCGUAGCUGGUCUGAGAGGAUGAUCAGCCACACUGGAACUGAGACACGGUCCAGACUCCUACGGGAGGCAGCAGUGGGGAAUAUUGGACAAUGGGCGCAAGCCUGAUCCAGCCAUACCGCGUGGGUGAAGAAGGCCUUCGGGUUGUAAAGCCCUUUUGUUGGGAAAGAAAAGCAGCAGGUUAAUACCCCGCUGUUCUGACGGUACCCAAAGAAUAAGCACCGGCUAACUUCGUG
rnacentral:rRNA from 1 species